GGAAGGAAAGAGAAGGAAAAGUCAAAAGCACAGGAAGAAAGGCAAGGGGGUCGAGGGGAUGGAGGCAAGAAAAGGAACAAGUGAAACCCUCUUGGGAAGGAAAGCUGUGUUUCAUUUUAGUUGCUUGGUUUGGAAGGAAGCCUGUAGAAGAUUAAAUAACGUAAGAAAACAUACUGCCGCCCUCUCUUCUCAUUUUCUCUGCAUAAUAGUCCAAAAUUUAAGUCGCUGGAAACUCUUCCUAUUGGCAAACCUUCUGUUUAGCUUCCUGGUUGCAAUAGUUCAUCCCCACAUGCUCUGAAGACUUUCUCAGUACCCAUGUUUUCUUCAGUCAGCACUCCAAGCAAGCAGGUGCUAGCCUUUUGCAUCUUCCAUGGGGAAUGGGCUAGACAGAGCCAACCAAUGGAAGAGCUCCACUGGGAAAUCCAUAUGGCCAGCAGCUGUGGAAUGGUGAUCUGCCGUAAUGUGCAUUUUCCUUCAGCGUGGUCCUGAAGGGUGUGGUGAGUGGCCACUUUCCCAGAUGGUCUGCAUUCUAAGAUGACACCAUAGCUACAUGACACCUCUGCUCUGAAGAUGGGACAUUUGGCCUUUGGAUAAAUAUCAUUCCCAGAACUUUGAACAGACUAAACUACUUUUACUGCAUGGAAUGUUUUUCUUAUCUGUAGUUAGGCAAGAACAAAAGAGGCUUGACCAUACUUUUUAAAGUAGCACUCACUUAAACAUCCCUGUCAGAAUAAACAGUUUUCAAAUUAUAUCAUUUCAAAUGCGUCUUUUAAUAUUGUGUAAGUGUGAUGUAGGAGGUGUGGAGAAAAAAAGGAAGCAGGGUAGGAAGCAGAUAAAGAGAAGAGAAUGCAUUAAAAAAGAAAAAUGUUAGGAAUUAUACAUUGUUGUAAUGUCAUAGUAUUUCGUAUAUUGAAUGUUUAACUGUUCCCUUUUUUGCCACUUCCUAAUCACUCUAUGGCAUCCUCAAAAUUCUUUAAGGAUUCAAAGUCAGGACAUGGAUGGUUGAAACAUUGUUUUGGACUUUGUAAUACUGUGCUUAUUGCUCAUUGUUUUUGUUUUUGUUUUUUCAAGGCUAUUGGCCAUGAUUCCUUAUGAGCAGUGUCACAGAGAUGUCUCUGGUCUUGGUUGGAAUUCUCUCCCCUAUAUCAGAACUGGGCAAUUGCUACACAGCUGAGGAUUAUAAAACUUCCCAUCAAGUUCAUAUAAAUACUAUACUCAAAUUCUAGUUUAUAUGAUAUAGAUUACCCAGUCCUCAAACUCCCUUACUCAUUCAAUAAUGUUUUUUGAAUACAUACCAAGUGUCAGGUGGGGGACACUGUGGAAAUAUAAUGAUGAUGCUUGGUAAGGUUAUUCCCUGUUCUCUUUUUAACAUCUCAUAAGUUCUUUUUUUUUCUUCCAAAUUCAUAUGCAUUCUGACUAGAUUAUGUAUAUUUUUGUAUUAUUUCCUGGUGAUUUAUUAGAAUAUUAACUUUUUUGUUCCAACCUAGUUUUUGAUAUUCCCAUAAUGCUUAACAUCUUAUUAGACACAUGGGAAAUAUUUGACAAAAACAUAUUAAAUAGAGAAAAGUUCUUAAUUAGGUACCAUCAUUGAAAAUAAGUUUGUAUAAAAAGUUUAAACAAGGAAAAGAAGAUAAAACAAUUGUUAUCUAGUAUAUGUCUAAUGUUGAACUAAAAUCUAUUUUAGCAAUAUUUGGGGUAUUAUCUUAAAAAUGAGCACAUAUGAAGAUUUAUAUCAGUGGCAGUGAGAUAGAGAACCAGUAAAAAUUGCCUAAUAACCCUUUUCUCAUUUGCACAUUAAUGGAAAUUGGCCAAGGACUUUCCUUGGGGAAUUAUGUCACCUAUUCUAAGCUUUGUCUGUUUUAUAGUUCCAGACAUUUGGAUUAAAAAGUGAGAGAUUGGACGGAUCUCUUGCUUAAACAUUUGGGUAAUUUGUACACUCAGAUCAUGGACUUUUUCUUUUUCCUCUAGAUAACAGGCCUCAGGUUGGAGCUGACCUAACAAUACCUUGGGACUAGUAGGAACUGGAGGGACUUCCAUGAAAA
rnacentral:lncRNA from 1 species